rnacentral:rRNA from 1 species
UACGGGGGGGGCAAGCGUUGUUCGGAAUUACUGGGCGUAAAGGGCUCGUAGGCGGCCAACUAAGUCAUACGUGAAAUCCCCCGGCUUAACCGGGGAACUGCGUCUGAUACUGGAUGGCUUGAGUUCGGGAGAGGGAUGCGGAAUUCCAGGUGUAGCGGUGAAAUGCGUAGAUAUCUGGAGGAACACCGGUGGCGAAGGCGGCAUUCUGGACCAAUACUGACGCUGAGGAGCGAAAGCCAGGGGAGCAAACGGG